rnacentral:rRNA from 1 species
CCUACGGGAGGCAGCAGUGGGGAAUAUUGCACAAUGGGGGAAACCCUGAUGCAGCGACGCCGCGUGAGUGAAGAAGUAUUUCGGUAUGUAAAGCUCUAUCAGCAGGGAAGAAAAUGACGGUACCUGACUAAGAAGCCCCGGCUAACUACGUGCCAGCAGCCGCGGUAAUACGUAGGGGGCAAGCGUUAUCCGGAUUUACUGGGUGUAAAGGGAGCGUAGACGGCGGUGCAAGCCAGAUGUGAAAGCCCGGGGCUCAACCCCGGGACUGCAUUUGGAACUGUGCUGCUAGAGUGUCGGAGAGGCAGGCGGAAUUCCUAGUGUAGCGGUGAAAUGCGUAGAUAUUAGGAGGAACACCAGUGGCGAAGGCGGCUUGCUGGACGAUGACUGACGUUGAGGCUCGAAAGCGUGGGGAGCAAACAGGAUUAGAUACCCCUGUAGUC